CUUGAACCCAGGAGUUUGAGACCAGCCUGGGCAACAUAGUGAGACCCCGUGUCUAAAAAAAAAAAUAACUUAGCUGGGUGUGGUGUUGUGUGGCUGUAGUCCCAGUUCCUUGGGAGGCUGAGGUGGGAGGAUCACAUGAGCCUGGGAGGUGGAGGCUGCAGUGAGCCCUGAUAUCAUGUCACUGCACUCCAGCCUGUGCAACAGAACAAGACCCUGUCUAAAAAAAAAAAAGAUGUGCAAAAAUAUUUUAGUCAAAGGUAAUGUCUGACUAUGAUAUAAAUAAUAGCAGUAUAGUAAAGGAUGAGCAUCCCCAAUGCAGAAAUCUGAAAUGCUUCAAAAUCCCAAACGUUUUGCAUGCCUGCAUGAUGUUCAGAGGCCAUGCUCUACAGAAAUGCUCACUGGAGAUUUUGGAUUUUGGCUCUUCAGAUUAGGGAUGCUUAACUGGGCAUAAGGAC
rnacentral:lncRNA from 10 species